UUUACCUUCUCUCAGGUUCAACCUAUCUUUGAUUUUCUCCUAGACGCUUUGAUUCUUCGGAGCUUUUUUUUAUCUUCCUUUUCGACCUCUUAAUGCGUUUAUUAUCUAGCUCACUUUAGUUCGUGCCAUACUAUCUUUAUUUUAAUUCGAUAAAUCUAAGCCGAUCUUACUUAUAUGCUGUUUGGUUGUUGAGGAAAUUGAAAGGAAGAAUGACUGUGUUGAUUUAUUCUGUAGUUCUGUUUCCUUCUUCGCCUUGUGGGUUAGUUCGGCUUUGUGGAUCUCAUGAAAAAGCAAAAGUUUGAAUAUUAAUGAAUUAACUUCGUAACAAGUUCAGUGCAGACUUAGAUUUCGAUCUCGGUCGCCUGAACAUGAAUGCUUAGAUUCCCAAUUUUUUCUCCGUUCUUUGCUUUUGUUUUUUUGGUCAGAUUCGGAUCAAUCGAUUUAUAUUGCCCGCUAUGAUUUUUAAUAACAAAUGUUCAGGAUAUAUCUGCUUACUAGUUAUGGGAUUCAGAUUAAGGUAAAUUGAAACUUCAUUGAGGCCUUCGAUGUCACUUGCACUUGAAUCGAAUUCUGGAAUUUAAAUUGCUUUAUCUUUGCCAGAGAAUGCUUUAUGUGGGAAGAGGGAGGUAUUUUGCAUACAAAUCAUGGUGUUUGAGGAUUGAUUAGGUACAAAUGCAUACAGGCUGUCAGAAAUUGAUUACAACGGAAGUUGACAAGAUACAGAAAGAUCGUCUAAGAAGGGAAUACCAUACAAAUAACGGAGAUAAGCAUGUGCUUUGUUUAUUGGGUCAUACAUAAUGUUUCUGCAUAAUGUUGUGUUUUCCCUUCCUUUAUGCUCGAGAUUUUCAUACAAGUGGAAUUAUCACUACUUAGAUUCAGUAAUUUGUAAAAUUAGCUCAUGCAUUUUUUUUUUUUUGGGGGUCUGUAUACUUUUCAUGUCUCUCCGUAUUUUUCACUCUCGUGGUUAAGAAGUUUUUGUUAAAUAGAAAGUUUACCACGACAUGUUAGAAUUUCACUUGGGAUAUUCAUACUUCUAAGGCAUCUUUCUGUUAGGCUCAAGGUACAGAUAAGGUUUUGGGUUGUUGACAUGAUAUUGCAAAUUAUGGAUGGAGAAUUAGUUAAUACUAUUCAUGACAAUGUUUAUGGUUGUAGCUUGCAGGACUGAAGCAGUAUAGGAGAUCUCUUUUUCAAUACAUAGAUUGGCAGUGAAAUAGUAUAUAAAUAUUCAUUAGCUAAAAGAGUAGAAUAAUAUGAUUACUUUCUUCUUUGAAUGCAAAACACUUCUCUUUGAUAUAUCAGCCAAAGAGUUCAUUUUUUGAGUGACACAGAUGUGCUAUCGUCCCAAAGACUCUCUUGAAAUUGAAGAUUUAAGGUGAAGGGUUCAUAUUUAUCUUCUUACCACAGUGCAUACGAUGCAUAUUGUUGUCCAUCAUAAAAGGGAAGAUAAAAUUGAAGUCCUUGUAGCUUAAGAUGAAUCAGAACACCUAAAGUACCCAUAAAAUAAUAAUUCUUUCCCCAUUUAAAAGGCAAGAGUUUAGAUAAGGGAUGAAGGAGGAAGCUGUGUCAGAAGGUGUAUAUAUUUCUCUUAACAAGCUGGCAUUCAAAACAUCACAUCAGAAAUUGCAAUGGAACUUUGGGAACUUAGAUGAUGUACCUUUGUUACAUGCUAAUCUUAAAAAAGGUCUUGGAAGGAUGACGACAUAAUACAAAACAAUGGAAAGGGAAUAUGUUAAGUAUUAUCCAGGGGAUGGGAAUAGUGAAACUCUUUCGAUUUGGUGGUAACAGCUUGAAGUUGGUAUCUUUUCUAUUAACUAUUAUUUCUCAUAGAAAUGAUCAAACUUUCAGAAUAGUCCAUUGCCCUUCAUGGCAUAUGGACAGUGAAGUUUAAAUCUGCAGUCUUUCUCUUUCAGAUGCAAGGAAUAUGCAAUAUUUAGGUGUCUAUUCAUUUCAAGGAUAAGCAAGAUUAGUGAUUGCUCCAGGCCCUGCCCCCAGGUUUUCUUUCAUGUUGGCUUGUUAAAACUUGGUCUGAAUGCUCGGACAUGGGGAAUUUUUGAUAUUUCAUAAUCUAUAUUACAUAUGUUCCAGUGCAAUCAUCAAUAUUGAUCUUGUGCGAUAGUGUUCAACGGAGUGUUUUCCAUCAACAUAAGAUAUCGGCCGCAACCAGCAAUGCAGAGAAUGGAUGGUAAGACUACCGAAGCUUUAACUCGGUGUAAGGUUUACUACCGAAGCUUUAACUCAGUGUAAGGUUUAUGGAACUUAGAUGGGAUCUUACUUGAUGAAAGCACAAUUGCAGUUUCUUAUACUCAAUGUUGACUUUAAGAUUAUUGUCCUCUAA